UACGUAGGGUGCGAGCGUUAAUCGGAAUUACUGGGCGUAAAGCGUGCGCAGGCGGUUAUUUAAGUCAGGCGUGAAAGCCCUGGGCUUAGCCUAGGAAUUGCGCUUGAGACUGGAUAGCUUGGAGUGCGGCAGAGGGAGGUGGAAUUCCACGUGUAGCAGUGAAAUGCGUAGAGAUGUGGAGGAACACCGAUGGCGAAGGCAGCCUCCUGGGCCAGCACUGACGCUCAUGCACGAAAGCGUGGGGAGCAAACAGG
rnacentral:rRNA from 1 species